UUAAAUUGAAGAGUUUGAUCAUGGCUCAGAUUGAACGCUGGCGGCAGGCCUAACACAUGCAAGUCGAACGGUAACAGGAAGCAGCUUGCUGCUUCGCUGACGAGUGGCGGACGGGUGAGUAAUGUCUGGGAAACUGCCUGAUGGAGGGGGAUAACUACUGGAAACGGUAGCUAAUACCGCAUAACGUCGCAAGACCAAAGAGGGGGAUCUUCGGACCUCUUGCCAUCGGAUGUG
rnacentral:rRNA from 1 species